rnacentral:rRNA from 1 species
CGGGACACGUGGUAUCCUGUCUGAAUAUGGGGGGACCAUCCUCCAAGGCUAAAUACUCCUGACUGACCGAUAGUGAACCAGUACCGUGAGGGAAAGGCGAAAAGAACCCCGGCGAGGGGAGUGAAAAAGAACCUGAAACCGUGUACGUACAAGCAGUGGGAGCACGCUUAGGCGUGUGACUGCGUACCUUUUGUAUAAUGGGUCAGCGACUUAUAUUCUGUAGCAAGGUUAACCGAAUAGGGGAGCCGAAGGGAAACCGAGUCUUAACUGGGCGUUAAGUUGCAGGGUAUAGACCCGAAACCCGGUGAUCUAGCCAUGGGCAGGUUGAAGGUUGGGUAACACUAACUGGAGGACCGAACCGACUAAUGUUGAAAAAUUAGCGGAUGACUUGUGGCUGGGGGUGAAAGGCCAAUCAAACCGGGAGAUAGCUGGUUCUCCCCGAAAGCUAUUUAGGUAGCGCCUCGUGAAUUCAUCUCCGGGGGUAGAGCACUGUUUCGGCAAGGGGGUCAUCCCGACUUACCAACCCGAUGCAAACUGCGAAUACCGGAGAAUGUUAUCACGGGAGACACACGGCGGGUGCUAACGUCCGUCGUGAAGAGGGAAACAACCCAGACCGCCAGCUAAGGUCCCAAAGUCAUGGUUAAGUGGGAAACGAUGUGGGAAGGCCCAGACAGCCAGGAUGUUGGCUUAGAAGCAGCCAUCAUUUAAAGAAAGCGUAAUAGCUCACUGGUCGAGUCGGCCUGCGCGGAAGAUGUAACGGGGCUAAACCAUGCACCGAAGCUGCGGCAGCGACGCUGAUGCGUUGUUGGGUAGGGGAGCGUUCUGUAAGCCUGUGAAGGUGUGCUGUGAGGCAUGCUGGAGGUAUCAGAAGUGCGAAUGCUGACAUAAGUAACGAUAAAGCGGGUGAAAAGCCCGCUCGCCGGAAGACCAAGGGUUCCUGUCCAACGUUAAUCGGGGCAGGGUGAGUCGACCCCUAAGGCGAGGCCGAAAGGCGUAGUCGAUGGGAAACAGGUUAAUAUUCCUGUACUUGGUGUUACUGCGAAGGGGGGACGGAGAAGGCUAUGUUGGCCGGGCGACGGUUGUCCCGGUUUAAGCGUGUAGGCUGGUUUUCCAGGCAAAUCCGGAAAAUCAAGGCUGAGGCGUGAUGACGAGGCACUACGGUGCUGAAGCAACAAAUGCCCUGCUUCCAGGAAAAGCCUCUAAGCAUCAGGUAACAUCAAAUCGUACCCCAAACCGACACAGGUGGUCAGGUAGAGAAUACCAAGGCGCUUGAGAGAACUCGGGUGAAGGAACUAGGCAAAAUGGUGCCGUAACUUCGGGAGAAGGCACGCUGAUAUGUAGGUGAAGCGACUUGCUCGUG